UGACCGCUGGCGGCGUGCCUACUACAUGCAAGUCGCGCGAACGGACGAGAAGCUUGCUUCUCUGAUGUUAGCGGCGGACGGGUGAGUAACACGUGGAUAACCUACCUAUAAGACUGGGAUAACUUCGGGAAACCGGAGCUAAUACCGGAUGAUAUUUUGAACCGCAUGGUUCAAAAGUGAAAGACGGUCUUGCUGUCACUUAUAGAUGGAUCCGCGCUGCAUUAGCUAGUUGGUAAGGUAACGGCUUACCAAGGCAACGAUGCAUAGCCGACCUGAGAGGGUGAUCGGCCACACUGGAACUGAGACACGGUCCAGACUCCUACGGGAGGCAGCAGUAGGGAAUCUUCCGCAAUGGGCGAAAGCCUGACGGAGCAACGCCGCGUGAGUGAUGAAGGUCUUCGGAUCGUAAAACUCUGUUAUUAGGGAAGAACAUAUGUGUAAGUAACUGUGCACAUCUUGACGGUACCUAAUCAGAAAGCCACGGCUAACUACGUG
rnacentral:rRNA from 1 species